GAUGGACAAACUGAUGGACAUCGGACGCGUUGCCAACUACCAGAAAAAACGACGCUAGGCAAGGUAAAUAAGGCUGCCAAAGAGCGUGCGAGCGAAGAAGCAGAACAAACACAGACAGCAGAGUAAUUGGAUUCUUAUGUGCAUGAAGUUGGCAGAACCACUUUGGAUAUUUAAACUUUUUUUAUUGUUAAUUGCAGUUUGUAUCCGUACAGUAUUCGUUAAUAAAUUACAUUUUUUUAAUGAGAUGUAAUUGAUUCCAGAGAAAUUAAAAUCAAUCUAUUGUGAGUCACAAACAUUUCCAAUACUUUUUACAUUCCAUAUUCAAUAAUUGUAAGCAGAACUUACUCUAUUAUAACAAAAAUGUCUAGUUUUAUAGAAUGACAAAUAAAAUUUUUCUUUUAAAUUAAGAUUUACUACUAAAAUUGUUUGUUUUUGGAUUUUCAAGUACCAAUAUUAAUAUAAGAACUUUAUUAAACAUCAAGCUUUUCCCUAUCCACAAACCCCAAUUUCAGAGCCACUAUUUCAGUCUCAACUGUAAAGCACGCUCUUACACGUCAACUGACUAGGAAAUGACGUUUUCAAAUUAUUUUUGGCCAAAUGAUAUUUAACGAUUUUUUUGAACUAGCAAAAAUGGCAAAAACAAAACUGACCAAACGGGUUGGGAGCCGCCACUCAAACCCAAUAUAAACGUGGAUAUUUGCCUGCCCGCUAACUGCGCAUCUAAAUAUAUCCCAGGAAAAUCAAUGAAAAGCGUAGCAAACGCGUCACAAGAACUAAUGGA